rnacentral:rRNA from 1 species
CCUACGGGUGGCAGCAGUGAGGAAUAUUGGUCAAUGGGCGGGAGCCUGAACCAGCCAAGUAGCGUGAGGGAAGAAGGUCCUACGGAUUGUAAACCUCUUUUACCAGGGGAUAAAGGCAGCCACGUGUGGCCGUUUGAGGGUACCUUGAGAAAAAGCAUCGGCUAACUCCGUUCCAGCAGCCGCGGUAAUACGGAGGAUGCGAGCGUACUCCGGUUUUAUUGGGUUUAAGGGGUGCGCAGUCGGCUUGUCAAGUCGGCGGGAAAAUUUGGGGGCUCAACCCAGGCCGGCCGUUGAAACUGGCGGGCUUGAGUUGGAGAGAAGUAUGCGGAAUGCGUGGUGUAGCGGUGAAAUGCAUAGAUAUCACGAAGAACCCCGAUUGCGAAGGCAGCAUACUGGCUCCACACUGACGCUGAGGCACGAAAGCGUGGGUAUCGAACAGGAUUUGAUACCCGAGUAGUC